rnacentral:rRNA from 1 species
GACGGAGGGUGCUAGCGUUGUUCGGAAUGACUGGGCGUAAAGGGCGCGUAGGCGGCCGCUUGCGUCGGAUGUGAAAGCCCGGGGCUCAACCCCGGAACGGCAUCCGAUACGGGGCGGCUCGAGACCGAGAGAGGUGAGUGGAAUACCCAGUGUAGAGGUGAAAUUCGUAGAUAUCGGGAGGAACACCAGUGGCGAAGGCGAGUCUCUGGGAUGAUGCUGACGCUGAUGCGCGAAAGCCAGGGGAGCAAACGGG